ACUCCUACGGGAGGCAGCAGUGGGAAUAUUGCACAAUGGGCGCAAGCCUGAUGCAGCCAUGCCGCGUGAUGUAGGCAAGAAGGGCCUUCGGGUUGAUGAAAGCACUUUCAGUUGUGAGGAAGGUGGUGUCGUUAAUAGCGGCAUCAUUUGACGUUAGCAACAGAAGAAGCACCGGCUAACUCCGUGCCAGCAGCCGCGGUAAUACGGAGGGUGCGAGCGUUAAUCGGAAUUACUGGGCGUAAAGCGCAUGCAGGUGGUUUGUUAAGUCAGAUGUGAAAGCCC
rnacentral:rRNA from 1 species